rnacentral:rRNA from 1 species
AGAGUUUGAUCCUGGCUCAGGACGAACGCUGGCGGCACGCUUAACACAUGCAAGUCGAACGGACUUGAGAGGGCUUGCUCUCUUAAGUUAGUGGCGGACGGGUGAGUAACACGUGAGCAACCUGCCUUUAAGAGUGGGAUAACGGUCGGAAACGACCGCUAAUACCGCAUAACAUACACGAACCGCAUGGUUUGUGUAUCAAAGAUUUAUCGCUUAAAGAUGGGCUCGCGUCUGAUUAGCUUGUUGGUGAGGUAACGGCUCACCAAGGCGACGAUCAGUAGCCGUACUGAGAGGUAGAACGGCCACAUUGGGACUGAGACACGGCCCAGACUCCUACGGGAGGCAGCAGUGGGGAAUAUUGCACAAUGGAGGAAACUCUGAUGCAGCGAUGCCGCGUGAGGGAAGAAGGUUUUCGGAUUGUAAACCUCUGUCUUAAGGGACGAUAAUGACGGUACCUUAGGAGGAAGCUCCGGCUAACUACGUG